UCUGAGAGGCCCCUCGGGGCCCUGGAAGCUGAGUCCCCAACUCCUUCUCACAGUGCCUCAGCCCUUUGCUCACCACCGCUGUCUCUGAGAUGUUUUGUCACUCAAAGAUCAGUAGUCAGCUGAGCGCCAUGGUUUAGGCUCCUAAUCCUAAGAUCUCAAAUCAAGCCCAGAAUGGGCAACUGUGCAACUCAAGAGAGACCUGCUCUCAAAAUAAAAAAUAUAAAGGUGGUUGGGAUGCAGCUCGGUGUAAAAGCCCUGGGUUCAAUUCCCAGAUCUGCUCCCAGUCCCAAAUCAAGUCAUGUAGCUAUGGCCUCUGAUCCCUGGGAGGGUGAGCAUGUCAGAGCAUUUGGCCUGGCAGUUGCCAGAGUCCCCGGAAUCUCUCCUAGCUGAGGAGCUUGAGCUACUGGGGGUCACAUCUAACCCUGCCACUUCCUAUUACAAGAGGCUAAGUGAGUUCCUGUCUCUGACCUGCAUUUCCGUAUCUGUGAAAGGGACUCGUAAUGCCUACACUGAACGUUGUCAUCAAUGUAUAAGAGUCGGAAAGUUAUUUUUACUAUCAUUUCAAUAUUAGGGUAGCUGUAGCUGCGUCUGUAAUUCUCUGCGGCAGUACCUGUAUCUACAGAUGUAAUGGCGGACAGACCGUGUCAGCUCGAGAAGGUUAGAAGUCUAACUAAAGCUCGGCAGUUCUGCACCCCAGGGUGCAGCCCCACAGCUCAUUGCCUGGACACUGGAAAGGGAAGGUGAGGAAGGGCGGGCUGCUUCUGUUGUUCGGAGCAGCUCCAGGCCUCGACUGCAGCUUGGACGUGCUCUCCUGGCCUCCAGCGCUGCUUCUCUGGCUGCUGGUGCAGAUCUUUCAGCCACCCAGGGCAGAAUCUUUACCUUCUGUCCUAGACCCAUGGCCUCCUGAUGCGGACUUGCACGGACACUGCGGUGAGCCCCAGGCCUCGGCAUGCAGACCCCCUCGGCAGACCUCCUCUGACUCUGUCUGACCACACACUGCCUGAGAGUCUUGAUCUAGAUGUGAGCACGACAGUCAUGCCUGCUUCAUUAGUCUGCGGUCCUAGCACACAGGAAGCAUUUAGGGCUAUGCGGAGCUCUGUGGGAAUCAGUGCUGAUAUAAUGACGGCGAUGCACCUUCCCCCUGCUUCUGAGAACCCAGGACUAGGCACUCGAGGAAGAUGCUGCUCCCAGCUGAGACACUGAACCCCACUGUCUCCUCAGAGUUGUCACUUUCGGUUCCCAUACAAACCCCCAUUCAUCCACAUAGCCACACACCGCCGGGGGGCUGAGUCAGCAUCACAGUGCCUAGGACACGAUGUUUGUCAGCUUUCUGUGACUGUAACAGAUGCAUGAGAUACUUUACAGAGAGGAAAAGUCCAUCUCAACUCGCAGCUGUGUAGGGUCCAAUUCACAGCCUAUUGGCUCCACUGCCUUGGGACUCUGGAGGAAGACAGCACAGCACAUGGCAGAGGAAAGCUCCUUAUGUCACCGGGAUGGAAGUGAAAUGGAGGAAAGACCCUAUCUCUGGUCACAAAGGCCACUCCCCCGAGACCUGGGGACCUUCUGCGAGGUCUCAGCCCUUACAGGUUUCACCACCUUCUACCACCUGGGAGUAAGCCUUUAGUACCCAGUAUAUGGGGAACAUUCCAGAUCUAAGCCAGGGAAGACUGUGAAAGGGUCUCCUCUGUAUCUAUCACCCUGCUCACUUUCAGGCUGUGAGCUCUGGCUUGGGAGCCCCAGUAUCCCACAUCCUGGAAAAGGCCUCCUAACCCUGUGACACGUACUUACUGAUGCUUGAUAGGGAUGAGCUCAGUAGGGAUGAGCACAGUCUCUUUCUGCUCAGUAGCUCUUCAGCUGCGGUGCAAACCCGAGAAGCCACAUGUUUGUCCUCUGGCUGAUUCACUCUUUAGCAAUGUGAGUGGAAAUUGGAGGAAAGGUCACCUCGGCUGGGCCCCAGCAAACUAGGACACCACGUUACAAAAGAAUGUGGCUCCUCAGCCAUCUACUUUGCUCCAAGAGUUUGCACAGGAUCCAGGUAAGGUGAGAGGGGAAGGAAGAGCCAAGUUGAUGCUGGAAGCUGUCGAGGCUGGGCUCUUCUGAGGUGCCUAGAGCUCCUCACUACAGCGUAGGCCUGCAGGCCAAGUGACCAGCUGAAUGUGCAGGGCGGAGGGCAGGAGGAGAGCUGUGAAGUCACAUGGUUAUUUCCUCACCCACUUCCCUGCACAGUGGGGCACCAGCUCGCCCACAGCCUCCUUCAGCCUGCUGCUGUGCUAAGGGCUGCUCCCCAUUUCUCUUUCAUCAUGAACCAUGGCCAGGUUAGACCUGGACACACAGCAACCUCCGCCGACCAGACCCAGAAGGAAGAAUUUGUGUUAUUGCUGGGGAGUUGAGAGGUUGUGUGAGAGUCUGUGGAACAUCCAUCAUCCCAGGGCCCCGGUGGUGAGUGAAAGCUUUACUGGGUGACAUUGCUGGGGCUGAAGACCACUUGUUUCUGCCACCUAAGAAGCUCGCCCUGCAGGAUUUCCCAUCCAGGUUCACCUCUUCCACACAGACCGAGUUACCCUGGUCUCUUAUGGAUUAAAAAUUGGUGGUCAACUUAAUGCCAGCUGAGUUAAAUCAGCGUGGUGCUGAACAGAGAUGUUCCACCUGAGGAAAGUUGCCAGCAUAAAUAGAGACAUGGAGAAGAGUAAGGCAUUGUGGGUUCUCCUAAGUGUUGCUGUUUGAGCUGUUGGUUCUCCUGGAGGAGGUUGUCAUAACUAGCUUCCCCAGUGUGAGUUCGACCAUCGUCAUUAGAGGAGUCUGGGACCUUGUUGGCGAAGGUGGCAGUGAUUCACUUUGGGGGAGCUCUGGUCCUUACUCUGAGCAUCAUUUCCUGGCUCCAGAGGGGAAGGUGUGUGCUGUUUAAUCUCCAGGACAAACUCACCAUGGUGGCUUCCUGGCAUGUACUCGACUGUUUUUAUUAUCAGAGGAGCUUGGGACCUCUGUGUCACUGAGAAUGGCCAUGGUGCUUUUCAGGGCAGCCCUGGACCUUAUUAUGUGUGUGACUUCUCGGCUCCAGUGUAGAACCCUCAACCUACCAGCACAACUCCUUCACCCCACUGGCAUGGACUUUCCAGCUUCCACCGCUGACCUUUGGGCCUUCCCAGUGCAUAUCUGUAAAACAGACUGAUGUGAGUCCUUCAGUGGGUUCUGACCCUCUAGCUGGACUCGUGGGAGGCACUGUCAUGGGCUCUAGGUCUUCAUCUGGACUCAUGCAGGACAGUGCUGUGGGAUCCAGGCCCUUGGCUGAAUAUUCUGGGUCUUUAGUGUUGUGCACAGAUUUACUGCACUUCCUGUGUUUAGCUCUGGGUGACUAUCAUAAAAUAAUGUUAUAAA